UUAUCGUCGCUUCCCGCGCCAUUCAGCGUGCACGCGCAGGACGGGCAGGCACGUAACCGCUUGGAGACUGUCUGGAGUCUGUCUGAAUUCUAUAAAAUUGAAGAUGGAGUUUUACUUCUCUUUGCUCGUGUACAAAGAAACCGCCCGUUGGAAGUGGGGAUGUUUUUUUGCUCUCCUCCUCAAACGCCUUCGCCCACGGGUGGCAACGCUCAGACAACAUAUUUUUUUAGAUAAAUGCUGCUGAAAGUUUUUUUCCUCCUGCAGUGUGUCAGCAGACAGCUCUUUAUGCACAGGCAGGAGCUCCGCCGACAGCUCUAGAGUUCAGGAGGAGUGCACCAUCAUGAAGCAUGGACGAGCCCAGAAAGGCCUGUCCCAAACCUGAUCCAGUGUCUGACAAAAAUGAAUGGAAUUGCAAUUAAAAAGAGGACGUUCAUAGUUUCUUGCCUGUCAUGCCUUGAUGUCUUUGACGCUGGUGUGUGUCUACCUAAAUGGUCUGCUUGCCACUAACAACUCCAUUGCCAAGCCUUCCACAUCCCAACUGCAGUGUGGAGAAUUUUAAGUGUAGUGAGAGGGUGGUGGUGGUGGAAGAGGAGGAAGAUGUCAUGCUAAGGAUGGGUUUUGGUGAUGAUGUUGCUGCUGUUGAUGCAGUAUCGAGCUCUCACUUUGUGCCUCUGUCAGCUAUGAUGCGUAACCACAAAGUGAGUGACAGGCCGGUCCCCGGGGAGAGCAGGGGGCCUGAGGAUUGUCUAACACGUCACCAGCGCUCGGUACUAUGGAGUACUACAAAAGCUGACGCGCAGAAGGAGGAUUUGUGAAUGGACGCCGUGAUGUGUGCCAGCUCACAGAUCACAGGGCGGUGGGACCUCUGCAGAUGCACCGUGAGCCUCCUUACACCCCACCCAACCCCGCACCCCUCCCUCUCCCGGUCACCAUCCCUCCCUCCAGAUGAAUGGGGUCUCUAAGAUAUCAGCUCUGUCACCAUGCAGGGGUCAGACCAAAUCCUCCAGCUUCCUGUGCCUUUCAAAAUCUGAAAGCCCGUCUCUCCUAUUUGAUGAUCCUGUAUGAUUUUUUUUGUUGCGCCUUUGUGGACCGCGCUGUGUUUUUUUCACCCUGGGUCAGCCGAGAGCAUGGCAGACGAAUUAGAAAAGAUUAGAAGCGGGACUAAUUGCGUGUAGCCAACGCUGCAAGAAAGUCAGUCUAGAAAUGCAAAUAAUCCAAAAUAAAUGUCCCCUAUGUGAGGAGGGAGUCCACCUGUUUCUAAUGACCCACUGUUUCCCAAGAAUGUUGGGAAACAAGCGGACGCCAGAGCCGCGGCGGCGCAAGAAUUGGACAAAUGACAGACAAAGUCUGGACCGAAACGAAUACAAUUAUUUUAUUUUGCCCAUUACAUUAAAAUAUUUAGUGAUCAAAUCUGGGUGAAUUAGCUCACAAAGAUGAUUUGACUCAAACUCUGCAUAUUCUUUCACAAACUCAAAUUUGCGCAAUACUUACAAGAAACCCCGUUUGCGCCGAAUGCGUUUGUUUUUGCUCCUGUUGUGGCUACACUGUUACACAGGCUAUAGCGCUGCGCGCCCCGCUUUUUAUGCGUCAUACAUCUCACCAUGAUGUCUAUAUAAUUUUCCCGCGGUGUGAACGUGUUUACAGAGGAAUCCUCAGGAGUCGCCUCGCUGCGGACUUUGAGGCUGCCGAAUCUUUUGGUUUCAACCCUUUAUACGUAUUAAUAACUCUUAAUCCGUCUGAUCGGUCUGGCGUAGAUAAGUCUCAUUUGAAUUGGGAUUGUUCUUAAGGAGCGGCUCGUAUUUCUUCACAGAAGUCUCUAACAGAGCUUAACACAAACAACUGCACCACCCUGAGCGCAAUUAAGGCCUCGGUUAAAUUGGAUGAAGGCUAAUUGAAUGAAAGUGAGUUCCCAUCAGAAAAGUCCUGAAUGCUCCACUAAUACGGGGAAAACGUUUACUGAAUAGAGUCGUUUAUUUUUCAAGUUAAAUAAAUGUUUCUUAAGAUGACAAGUAACUAAUAAGCUACCAAAACAAUAUCACGUUGCAACGUUUAGAGAGGAAAAUUGUUUAAAAGUGAGUUAAUUUAAGUUUAAGUUAACUUUAAUUUAAGUAAAAUUUUGAAUAAUCAGAUUUAGUAUUUUCUCUAUCUUUAUUUUUGUUCUUGCAAAACGUUCAGUGCAUGAAAAAUGUAGUUUUAUUAAUGAAACUAGUUUUAGUGUUUACGUCCUGAAAAACUUUUAGCAUUUAACGAGCCUGUUCUGUUCACAUUGUCAAAUAUGGAGCAUUUGUGGCGGGUUCGCUCGUGCAGAUUUGACUAAAAACGUAAAUACCCAGAAAUAAAUGUACAAAUAAUUUUAGCGAACUAAAAAGUCAGAAUGGACGCUAUAAAUAUAUAAGUAUACUAUACUUAUAUGUAAUUCUACUAUACUAUAUAAGUAUAAAACUACAUCUACUGGUACUUAGAAACUUUUCACUGAAUUAUUACUCAUUCUGAUACAAGUUGUUAAAGGAAAAGUUAAAUUAAGGGAAGUAAUUGUCCUGCACCUUCUGCUCAGGUUUUGUACAACCAAGUUUUUCUGCCCUAUUUUUUUGUAAGAUGACGCAGUUCGCUCAGAAAAGCUGAUGUAGUUGUACUGACGCAGGCAAAUAAAUGGCGUUUAACUCAACUGGUGUCAGGCUGCUGUAGUUUUCCGGCUCGACUUUUCACGUGUGCCGACGUCUUACUUGUGACAGCAAAAACGAACUACACGUGGUGGCUAUUUCCGUAAGGUUAAUGGGUUUACAUUCUCAGUCAUACAGAACAAAUAGGCUGCCAGGCCGACACGGGAGGGAGCUGGGGGGUCCGGAGGGAAGAGCGGGGGCCGUGUAUGAAUGCAAGCACCGCUAAACAAGGAGCUCAAAGAAAAGCCAAGUGGAAGGUAAAAUGCACCAGCAGCAGCAGCAGCAGCGGUGCUCCUCAUAUGCAGUGACCCAUGAUCAAUGAGCCCAGCUCUGCGUUCGGUCCUCCACGGGAACCCACAAGAUGCUUCACAGGUUUCGGAUCGCCCUCGUGCCUGGUGCACCUGUCUGGUUUUUACAAGCAGGGAGGAACAAGUGGGAGAGAGAGGGAGAGACAGCUGGAGAGCACGUGAUGCAGAAUAAAGUCAUACUCGUGCUCGGAGCAAUGGCGAACAACAACUAAUUCUAGAAGUGGGGGGAGUGAGUUUAAGGAACCCAUUGAACGUUGUGCGUCAAAGCGAGGGCUCGCGUCAUUUGGAGUAAGCCCCCACCGUCUCUCUCCAUUUUACGCGUUCACAUCUUCGCUGCGUCUAAAAGCGAGAAACAAUUUCUGUUAUGUCUGUGGGUCCAGCUUGCAACUUUAAUUAUAGUGGAGGGAGGUCGGUCAUAAGCGGCCACUCGACCCCUCUCCCUGUGUGGCAUCGCGCCCUGUGCCGUUCAGCCAAAAUAGUGCCGGACUCCCCUGAAAGCGCCAUGUGCGACGUGGUCCCUUUCACCCCCGCGUGCACCUGAGUUGUUUUUACCCCCCAGCCGCAGAUAUGUUGUGAAUUUGUCACUUAUCGGGGGCGCGCUGUCAAAGGCCAGUGCAGGAGCAAUAACUUUCCCAGAUGGUUCUAGCCUGCCAACGUUGUGCGCCUCUCAGCAGCGAGAUGAAUAGGCUGCAUCCCAGAAAUGUCUCGUACGCCUACUAAUGAAGACUAAUUAAAACAUAACAAACAUGGACUUUUAGUGCAUCCUAAGUAGGGCUGCGAGCGUAAUUCGGAUUAUGCAGCUCAAGUCCUUAUGCUUAUAGAUGUGUUUAUUUACACGGCAAAGGAUUUGCGUGAUUUGAUGUCUGUGGAGCCUCACAACAGGUGUCCAGAGGUGCUCAGCAUGGAAACGUGGAGUUACAGUGGACAGAAUUAUAUAGUAGACAUUUCAUUCAAACACUUAUACCACCUUGUCUACAGAUUCAAAUCAGUGAGGCUGCAUGUUGAGCUAUAUAAAACUAGGAACCCAGAGCAGAUAUCGGUGUAAAUUCUUGGCCGCUCCCUUUAUUGUGAGUUGUUCAUAAGAUGCCGACUUUUUGUCGUCUGCCUCAGAGGAGGGAUCAUGAAAUGGAAAUGCAUGCACCUUGAUUUAUUCCAUUAGCUUUAUUCAGUUGUUGUUAUUAUUACCCCGGUUGAUUUCAGAGUCUGAUCGGGCCUGCGAGAUGCACUGGGUGUGUUUAAUUUACACUGGGAAGGAUUUGUUUGGAUGGCAUGCAUAAUGUGCCAUCACCUGAGGUUUAGCUGUCAUUUUAUUAUUGUCCUGUGGAGGAAGAAGAGUCAACAGGAACGGCACACAAGGCUGAGCAUGCUGACUGAAGUGAUGAACCCCACUGAGCCGUGGACUGGUGUUUACACUGUUUAGAAUGAUUAUGUCUCUUUAGUGCAUUCAUUGUUUUUCUUUCAUUUCCUUGAUUGUCCUGCGAUUUCUCAGCGCUCCGGAGGACUGGCCCCCAAAAAAGCCACUUAAAUGCACGGAUAAAGGAAAAGUGUGAGUGGAUCAUUUUCAGACGGGGACACAAAAAGGCGGCAGACGGCGGCGUGAGACUGCCAUUUGAAUGGGAUCUGAGAAGUAAUUUGAGCUAAAAUGGAGUCCACUUCUGAGCCACUCACUCAGGCCCCCAUGGCAUCCACUGUAAUUCAUUAUUCCUGGCCGGCACAAAGAGAGGCAAUGAGGGAAAGCAGAGGACAGGAGUGGACCCAGCUCUGGUGUAAUGAAGACUCAGUAGACCUAAACGACUUCCACACACACACACACACACACACACACACACACACACACACACACACACACACACACACUCGCUCACUAUCUUUCAUUAUAUAUCAGGACAUUAAUGCCACUGAAGACCUUUUGGCAGAGAAGAAGAGGGUGCAGUGAUUUUCUCCGCACUCCAGUCCAUUUCAUUGACCUUUUCUAUCAUGCAUGUGACUCUCGGCUCACUGAGAUAAAUAUUCCACGAAUAAUAUUCCUUGCCUCUGUUUAAUAAAUCACCCCCGGAUCUGCAUUUAUAUCUGCAUCAGUAGUUUUGAGAAGCUGUAGGAACAUCUGUAGUUUUAAACACCCACUCUCCACGUUUGCAUAGCUGUGUGUGUUUCCGAUCAGUAGAGCUCCUGUCUGUGCUUUGUCUUUGGCGAUUUCUUAGGUAUUAUAUUAUAUACCUUCGUGAGGUAGUUAAAUAAAUAGGUUAAACCUUUUUGCAGUGUAGGAUCAGGAAGGAUGCUGCUGUUCCGCGUCUCGCCAGUAGGGGUCCACAUGUGGUCAUGGUAAUAACGUCCACACUACUCAGAAGAUAAAUACUGUCAUCUGGUGGUAACAAAAGCCAUCACUACUAAGUAGACAGGGUGGUGAUCUCAUCGUCACCUGCAUGACUUCCUCCUGCAGAAUAAGCGCUUGAUGAUGUCUCCUCGCUCAUCUGUUCGUCCUCAUGUUCCUCCGCCGCCUUAAUCCACGUUUUACUUUUCAACAUGGGUUUAGCAACGGAGUAUGAGCAUUUAUCAAAGCAGUUGUCAGGAUGUCUGUGUAACAGCACCGGUGUGUGUUACAGGCAGAGUAAAGUGACAGGAGCUUCCUCAGAGAAGCUUCUUUUUCCUCCACAGACUCAUGUUCAGAUACAGACCGACUAUGGACAGGCCUGAGUACACUAAGGUGGCUCAGUGGCUCCCAAUUUAAGGGUCUGAUUUACAUGUUGAAUCAGAAUAAUUACAGAUGAUGAAUGGGGAAUGAUGACAGGAGAAAUGCACAUUAAACAUGUGCUCGUACAGAAUAUUAGAUAUAUUUCAGUUGUUUUGGUCUCAAACUGUUGUUUAAAUGAAAUAAGACGGUCAGAGGUUAAACGUGUCUUGUUGUGGAAUCUAAUAACAUGGUGCCUUGCAGAAAAUCCAAAAUAAACAAGCAACAUCAGAUUAAUCAUUUACAAUGUGGGUAUUUUGUAAGCUUAACAUUUAAUGGGCAGUAUCCAAGUCGGAAAGGUCAAAUGAAUGCAGUGCAGCCAAACAAACACCCUGUGAGUACACAUACCUACGACCAGUACCACAGAAACUGGCACAUCUUUUAUUGUAUUACACUAUUUUAUCAUCAUAUUAUAGGAUAACAGUUUGAAGAGCUAACAUAAAAUGUGCCUGUUUGACUGCAGAGCUGAGGUAUUCUCACAUUACUGCCUUCAUGUUUACUGGCAGUUGACACACUGCAUCAAAUUAGAGGCCUAGUUUCAGAAAUUCUAAAGUCACAAAGGUGCUGCGAGGAGAUGAAAUUGAACCGUCUAGCAGGCCAGCAUAUAGGAGGUGCAAAUCAAUACAUCAGGCUGUCUUCUUGCCUUGAAGGGAGGACACAGAGUGGGAGGAAGUGGAAGGGGGGGGGUCUUUUGGCAAUAAGAAUGUGCUUUAAUGGAGUCUUUCAGUUUACUGUGGCUGGAAAUGAAAGGAAGUUGAAGCACAGCCAAUUAUCCUGCCCAAGAAGAGAAGGCUGAAAAAGGAGGGAUGUGGCGUGUGGCACUGGGUCAUUGACCUGUCAAACAGAUAUUUACACGGAUAGACACAUAGAUAGCAACAAUAUAUACUCAUAUGUGUAUAUGGACAGCUAGAAACGGAGCAGAUGCAGAGCAAGCGUCCCAGAAUGAGGGUCUGAUUUAGAAUAGCCCACAGAUAUUGGCCCCACUCCCAGAAAUUUCCCCCCAGUGCAAAAGGUUAACUGUCAGUCCCCCGCUAGGUAUAAAUAGAAGUCUGCCCUCCAGAAAGGCAUGUUCAGAGAGGGGGUCGACAGAGGAGGGAACUGGGCCAGUUCCUCCUGAUCCCUGCGGCACAGCAGCGGGGGCAGUUUGGAGGAUUUUUGUCGGGAGGGACGGGUGGGAUGGGGUGGGGUCUUCUGGAGGAGGGCGAGAGAGGGAAGAUGCAGCCAAAGACAUUCUAAUGGCUCCGGAGACUGACAGAGCGCCCAGACAAAAGGGUGCCCUCAUCUAUUCAACUUGACCGUGACAGCAGACACAACAAAUGCCAUCAUGGGCACCCCAGAAGGCUCCGGUCUGAUCGAGGUGCCGCUGCCAUUGUUUGGUGGCUGAAAUGCUGCUACCAUCAGUAAUCGGCUGCAAAACGUGUGACUGGAUAAGUUAAUGUUGUUUGUUGUUCAGGUUUAUAUCACUGGUAGCGAAACCUUCCUUUAAUUUCCUACCAGUGAGAAAGGCGCUAUCACUUUUCCAGAACUAUACAUAUAAUUCAUGCUUUACCAAACCAGUGUAAAAGCUCUUGAGCCAGACAACAACAUGAACAAAGAUUACGCAGAUUUAUUUAUCACGUAGUUUUAUUUUUCACUUGGAUCCAAGGUAGCAAAAAAAGAGAUACACAGCUAAAAUAUCAGAGAAACAAAACUAUAACACGUCAAAAAAAAAAAAAGGUGCGUCACCGUCUCAAAAAAUAAA